GUCUAUGGCCAUACCACUCUGAACACGCCUGAUCUUGUCUGAUCUCAGAAGCUAGGCAGGGUCAGGCCUGGUUAGUACUUGGAAGGGACACCUUUCACAGGAUCUGGGAAGCCCUGUGUU
rnacentral:rRNA from 1 species